AAUCACUAGGGGAGUUUGUGCUAGUUUUAGAAUUAUUAGUAGCAGUUAGUUAAAAUAGUUGUUUAUUUUAGAACUAAUCCUAGGCUGUCAUCUGAUAGUUCUUUUUCUAAGUUUAAUUCAUAUAUCUUACCUUCUGUUGUUACAAUGAUGUCAUCUACGUAGUGUCAGUAUAUGUGCAGUUUAUUACUUAAUUGUUAUAUUAUUAUUUUCUCUCUCUAACUGCUACUUCCGCUAAGACAUCUGCUAGUGAACUGCCAAUUAGUACUCCUUUUUGUUGUAUAUAGAAGCAUUGGUUGUAUAAGAAGUACAACUGAUGUGUUACUAGAUGGCAUAUGUCUCUAAGAAGCUUUGGGUCCUUGUUUUCUUUCGGCAGUUAUUCCAUUAGCAUACGGUGUAGUUCUAGACAUGCUGGUUCUAUUUUAACUUGUGGCUAUAAAGAUUUAAAGUCAAAAACUGUCAUUUCUUCUUCAAGAAAAGGGCCUGUUUUGCCUAGGACUUCUAUAAUUUCAUCUGCUGAUUGUUUUUCCUAUUCAUAAUCUUUUAUUCUUUCCCUGCACCACAAUGUUAACUUUUCUCCAGAAGAUAUGUCAGCAAAUCACAUUUUUUAAUUAUUGGUCUUAUUUCUAGAGGUUUGUCUUUUUGGAUAACCGAAAAGCCUUGGGGAUCUCGGUUCUUGUAUUUUAAUGCCUUUAAAAAAAUUGGAUAACUUUGGUUGCUUAUUAAUCCUAUCAAUGUCUGCACAUAGUUUGUCCAUGGGAUUAUGGUCAAUCGCUAGGAAUUAAAACUAAUUUAAUAAAUUCAUAUAAAUCCAAAAAGAACAAUGCUUUUUCUAUUGAAUUAUUAAGUAAAACUACUAAGAGUAAAGAAUUUUGAAUUUUGAGAUAAAAGGCAUGUUUGAUGGAGGAGUAAAAGCCAUGAGAUAAUGAUAAAAGUUUAAAAUAUUCAGAAAAAUUUUAAAACAGUAAGUAAAUUGAAUAAUUAAAUACUUUGUUUAUAUUGAAAGUUAAAUGAAUAAAACAAUUGUUAUAAAAAUAAAGAUAUACAUAUUUUUGGAUUAUAUGUACUAAUUGCACAAAAUGCUAAUGCUAUGUACUAAUGGCAAUUUAAACAAUGAAGUAAAAAAAAUUUUGUUUAAUUCGUAUUACUUUUCUGUAAUUAACUUUUUUUAAUUAAAUGAUUCAUAUGUGGUGUCAACUGUUCAAGGAAAGAAUAAUGAAAUCCAAUAAUUUGACAAAUCUUCGAUCCUAACUUAUUGAGAAAAUGUUAA
rnacentral:lncRNA from 1 species